rnacentral:rRNA from 1 species
CGCAGCUAACGCAUUAAAUGAUCCGCCUGAGUAGUAUGCUCGCAAGAGUGAAACUUAAAGGAAUUGACGGGGACCCGCACAAGCGGUGGAGCAUGUGGUUUAAUUUGAAGAUACGCGGAGAACCUUACCCACUCUUGACAUCCUUCGCAAUGCUAUAGAGAUAUAGCGGAGGUUAACGGAGUGACAGAUGGUGCAUGGUUGUCGUCAGCUCGUGUCGUGAGAUGUUUGGUCAAGUCCUGCAACGAGCGCAACCCCUAUCUUUAGUUACUAACGAGUCAUGUCGAGGACUCUAGAGAUAC